rnacentral:lncRNA from 1 species
UUUAGAAUGCCUUUCAUUGUUCUGUAUUAACUUUUUGUAUAUUAUUUUAUUUGUUUGCUUGCAUGUUUGUUUGCAAUGCUUGUGAAUGAUUGCUACGAUUAAAAGGAGAACAACAUGUGAAAUUGCAUGACCAAGAAUUUGAAGGCUAUGAGGAGCAGCUGUAUCUUGAGAAAAGUAAGUGUGCUUGACCCACAUUUCUCCUAAUAAUAUUUAGUUACACCUUUGCAUGUAGUAUCAGACAUGAUGGGACCCAAGUUAGGAUACCUAGAUUCCAAUUUUCGUGCCGCCUGGGCUUUACCUCACAUGAUGGGUAGAUUUGCUUAUUUGCUUUACUUGGUUAUAUGGAUGGGGAAAUGGGGAGUAUGUUCAUACUUAUAAUGAUGUUACACUUGUUUACUGGAUUAUGUAACUGUUUAUGGUGACCAACAAUAAUUUUAAUUGGAAUACUGAGCAACCGCAAAACUGUGCAACUGCAAAAUCUAGUUUUCUUUAUUGUGUCAGUAAUAUAGUUGGACCGCGUAGGGAUGGAAGUUUUUUCUUCUUAGGACCAUCAAGGAAGGGGACCAAUACAAGUUGCAAUAUUUUUGUUUUGUAAAGGCUUCGUAGUGAAAAACCAGUAUAUCGGUAAUGUGUACGAAAGGUCAUUCUCAUACACAUGAUUAAUGAACUUGAAGGACUAAAGAUUUAAUUCUUAUCUCUUCUACAUAUAUCUUAUUUAUUUAUAUAUGUUUAUAUUAAUGUGGUUGGGAAAAACUUACACGUUAAUGUGCAUGGGUGAUGAUCUAGCGAGAGGCCAUGGGUGCACAGAUCGAGGCUACUGGUGAUAGUAUGGCUACUAUCCCCACCCAUGACGAGCAUACUUGUCAGGGUAACUUAUAAGUUCCAAAAUUCAUUGGCUAAGAUGUUGUUUACGAUACUUUAGUCUCAUUCUGCUUAUGAUGACAUGGAGAUAAAAA